UGAAAAACAAUUAUUUGAGUGGCUAGGUCGGAUUUUUCUUUGACAAUAUCAUAAGCAUAAACUUGAACCUUUUGUUCAAAAAAAAGAAGAAGAGUAGUUUUCUUUUGCCUAGUUUGAUUUGCUACAUAAACUGUGUGACUUAAUUGAAGUAAUGAUUUGGAUCUGCUUGAUUCACUUAGGAUUUUAUCAAGGACGAGAAUAUCCACUCUGAUCGGCGCCACCAUCUGGCUUUGUCAUCUCUUAAAGAAACUUGGGACUAACCAUGGUGCUUUGCAGUCCUUUUUUGUGGGGAUGUUUUAUUCCACUAAUGAAGAUGGUUCGUGCAGUUGAUCGCGAAAUUCUUAACCUGGUUAGAGUGCUUUAGUUGAUAUGUCUUGGGAUUUCUUUUACACUUGCCUGUAAAAUUGUUGCUUACUAUCUACCUUGUUUCUUGCUUUGCUUUUUUCUUAAAAAAAAAACUCAAGAGUUUUGAAUAAUUUUUAGAUGUUAUUAACAAGCAUGUGCCUGGGAGGUUUUAAAAGCAACCUUGGUGCCCUCUCUUCUAAGAUC